GGAUGUGAGGGUGAUCUGGCUGCAGCAUCCGUCCCCUUCCUCCCUGCCUGCUCUACCUGUGUCCCUUCCGAACCUGUGACCUUGACUGAAAGGUAUGAUCACUCCUUCAGUCAAGGAUACACAAGUAGUAGUGCUUUCCUGUUAGAUCCUUCAAACAGGCUCUCACGAUGAUUCCAUGGGAAUCCCCAAAUACAGUUGCUAUAACCUUGUGGUUUUUCUGC
rnacentral:snRNA from 1 species